rnacentral:rRNA from 1 species
GAUGAACGCUGGCGGCGUGCCUAAUACAUGCAAGUCGAGCGAAUGGAUUAAGAGCUUGCUCUUAUGAAGUUAGCGGCGGACGGGUGAGUAACACGUGGGUAACCUGCCCAUAAGACUGGGAUAACUCCGGGAAACCGGGGCUAAUACCGGAUAACAUUUUGAACCGCAUGGUUCGAAGUUGAAAGGCGGCUUCGGCUGUCACUUAUGGAUGGACCCGGCUCGCAUUAGCUAGUUGGGGAGGUAACGGCUCACCAAGGCAACGAUGCGUAGCCGACCUGAGAGGGUGAUCGGCCACACUGGGACUGAGACACGGCCCAGACUCCUACGGGAGGCAGCAGUAGGGAAUCUUCCGCAAUGGACGAAAGUCUGACGGAGCAACGCCGCGUGAGUGAUGAAGGCUUUCGGGUCGUAAAACUCUGUUGUUAGGGAAGAACAAGUGCUAGUUGAAUAAGCUGGCACCUUGACGGUACCUAACCAGAAAGCCACGGCUAACUACGUGCCAGCCGCCGCAGUAA